GAUGAACGCUGGCGGCGUGCCUAAUACAUGCAAGUCGAGCGAAUGGAUUAAGAGCUUGCUCUUAUGAAGUUAGCGGCGGACGGGUGAGUAACACGUGGGUAACCUGCCCAUAAGACUGGGAUAACUCCGGGAAACCGGGGCUAAUACCGGAUAACAUUUUGAACCGCAUGGUUCGAAAUUGAAAGGCGGCUUCGGCUGUCACUUAUGGAUGGACCCGCGUCGCAUUAGCUAGUUGGUGAGGUAACGGCUCACCAAGGCAACGAUGCGUAGCCGACCGCAGAGGGUGAUCGGCCACACUGGGACUGUGACACGGCCCAGACUCCUUCGGGAGGCAGCAGUAGGGAAUCUUCCGCAAUGGACGAAAGUCUGACGGAGCAACGCCGCGUGAGUGACGAAGGCUUUCGAGUCGUAAAACUCUGUUGUUAGGGAAGAACAAGUGCCAGUUGAAUAAGCUGGCACCUUGACGGUACCUAACCAGAAAGCCACGGCUAACUACGUGCCAGCCGCCGCUGUAA
rnacentral:rRNA from 1 species